ACACAUCUCCAUCUUCUCGCGUUGCCUCAUCGCAACAUUGACUCAUCUGUUUCAUCCGCUCCUUCAUUAUCCUCAGCCUCGACCAUCAACAUACAUAACAAAACGAUAACGUUGUUGAAGCUAUAACGGUUGAUGGAUUCAUGGAGUUGUGGGUUAGCUUCACGGUUGAUGGAUUCUUGGAGUUGUGGGUUAUCUUCUUCUUGGAGUGGAACUUC
rnacentral:lncRNA from 1 species